rnacentral:rRNA from 1 species
UACGUAGGGGGCAAGCGUUGUCCGGAAUUAUUGGGCGUAAAGAGCGUGUAGGCGGUCCGGUAAGUCAGCUGUGAAAGUCAAGGGCUCAACCCUUGAAUGCCGGUUGAUACUGUCGGGCUAGAGUCCGGAAGAGGCGAGUGGAAUUCCCGGUGUAGCGGUGAAAUGCGUAGAUAUUGGGAGGAACACCAGUGGCGAAGGCGGCUCACUGGACCGGUACUGACGCUGAAGCGCGAAAGCGUGGGGAGCAAACGGG